UGUUUUAAUUGAUUUUACCCUUUAAAAUAGUUUUUAAUCAUAUUUGUUUUUAUUGGUUUUAUUUUUAUUUAUUUUUUGUUUUAUUCAGUCAUUGGUGGAGCAUAAUGUUUUUUUUUUGUUUUUUGUUUUUAAAUAUUGUUUUUAACAUGGCUGUGCAGCACUUUGGAAACGUUAUUGUUGUUUAAAUGUGCUAUUUAAAUAAAGUGGAUUGGAUUGGAUCACACUCAGCUAAUAUGCAAUUCCAAACGUGAUAAAUGUCAUAAAUUAUAUUCAAAUUGACAAACUUUGACGGCAAACUCUAAUCUGAUGUUGAAGAUUCAAAUAUAAAUACACUUAUUAGCAUUAGAAUGCGGAUUAAACGAUUAUUCUGCUCGUUUUUUUUUUAUAUAACACUGAAUGGCAGCCGGCUCGACCAAUCACAAACACUUGCCUUACAACCAAUCACGUGACGCCUGGGCUUAGUGGGCGGGGCUACAGUGACAAGCGGGCUCGGCAGUAGCCACUGAUGCUAAGCUAGCAUCGCCAAUUGACAACACUUUCUCGACAAAGUCCUCUUUUUGUGGGACAACAAUCAUGGUUUCUCACUCCUUCGCCUUGCCGACGACCUGCUGUACCACGCUGUGGGCGCUGGUGGGGGUCGUGGCUCUCUUUUUUUAGUGCCAAAAGGACCGAAUGGAGGGAAAGAAAGUGGAGAAUGCUGUCACACCCGCCUCAGGUGAAGGUAAUGUAACCUUUGUAAACCGGACUUUCCAACCGAGGAUGGCAAGGCACGCAGUUGUAAACUGUCAGGUUCAAACACUGUUGACAUCUAUUAAACAAGACAAAAAGGCAAAGAAUCAAACAGAGACAGAGUUAAAUUUGGACUCAGAUCUGAGGAGAGACAUGGCCUCUGUACACCUUUCACAGUUCCUGCACCAAGUUCUGACGAAAAGGUUUUCGUCUCCUCUUUUAUUUAGAUAUUCAAUGUUUACGCAACAACACAUGUCAAAACAGGAAUGGGGAGCAUACACACAGUCACUGUUGUCGGUCACAUUGAAGACAAAAGAAAGACGAUGCCUCGGGCCCGAGCUCCUCCUGGUCUCGGCUUCGGCAGGUCUUUGAGGACAAAAGAAAACCCCUCUCGUCGCAUUCCAAUGUACACAGCGGAAUUCCCCAAGACCUUGCUUGGUUGAAGAAGGACAGCUCUCAACUACUCAAUUAAAUAAAAGAGAUCUGAAAGUUU